AUCACGAAUUUAGAAUUCAGAAUUAGAAUUUUAUAAAGUCAUUGCGUAUUGCUGUCUGUAUGGAAGGGAGUCAGUGAUAUAAGAAAUGCGUGUAUUACAUUGAGAGAAGUAUUACAUGGAGCCAUUUCUUAUAAGAAGUUUGAGGAACUUCGCCUCUGCAACGGCAGAGAGAUUGGUGUUUCUUAGAUCACAGCUUCAAAACUAAGAUAUAUACCGACAGGGCACAGUGUGACACUGACACCAUUAAAUUGUUGCAGCAUCUUGCCAAAGAAGGACACAAAGCCAGUCUCUCCAAAUUACAGUAUGUACAACAAGAAGUGAGAUUUCUUGGGUCAUGACAUUUCUGCAAAGGGAAAGAAACUCUCCACAGAAAGAGUAUCUGCAAUGCAGAGUAUUCCCAAGCCCCUGACGAAGAAACAAGUUCUCUCUUUCCUAGGUUGGACAGUUCAUUCUCAGGUAAGCUGGAUCCAGUCGCUGCAGAGUUUCCCGUGUGUACGUGCAGUAGCAGCAGCUGAGAAAGCUGUGGUGGCAUCCAGAGACCUGAGGGAGACGGGGAACCACAUGAUCGUGUCGUACUGACUAAUGAACUCUGCUCCCCUAGAGUCGACCUGAAAGAUGUUCUAUUGGAAAACUCAGAUCUGAUCCUCUUUGUGGACGGAUCUGCAUCACGUGACCCAGAGACAGGUAAAAAUCGAGUGGGAUAUGCAGUAGUGACCGCACACGCGACGGUUUGUCAGGAAGUCUCCCCUCAUACCUGUCAGCACAGGCAGCUGAACUGUAUGCCCUCGUAGAGGCAUGAAGACCUGCUGAGGGACAGUCAGUAAAUAUCUACACAGACAGUAGAUAUGCCUUUGAGGUAGUACAUGAUUUUAGAACAAUUUGGAAGCACAGGAACUUCCUGACGAGUUCAGGAACACAUUUAGCCCACCACAAACGAGUCUCUGAGCUACUGUAUGCAGUCCUACUCCCCAAAACUACUGCAGUAUGCAAAUGUGAUGUACACACUAACAAAUUAGACCCUGUCUUCCUAGGAAACACUCGAGCGGACAGUGCAGCAAAGCAAGCAGCUGCAUCUAUAGUCCCAAUAUUCAAAAGAAAAUAAUCACUCCUUCUUUACAGCUUUCAGAUACCAAGCACGGGCUACUCGGACGAGGUAAAGGCUGUGUGGCGCAAAGCAGGUUGCAUGGUUGUUGACGGAGUUUGGCGAUGCCCCCAGGGCUGUCCUUGUCUUCAAAGUUGACGCAUGGCAGGGACCAUGCGUCAAAAGGGGGAAUGAUAGCUGCGAAAAGCACUGGUUUCUCUAAUUACGCUAAAAAAAUUUGGUUCACGCUGUUUGCACAACUCAUAACGUGGGUUGAGGUUUGAAGGUAGAGAAGGCCACGUCCCUAUGUCCAAACAGGACUCAGAAGCGGUAGUGAUAAUGAUAAUUUCCAGUGAUAAUGGCACACCUUUUGUGAGCCAUGCCCUUGAGUAGGUGGGUGAAUAUUUGGGUAUUGACUUAAAGCAGCACUGUGCAUAUCAUCCAGCUAGUGGUGGGGUGGUAGAGAGAGAAAAUGGGACACUAAUAAACUGACUGAACAAAUGCUGUUCUGAAACAGGCUUAAGAUGGGCUUAGCCCCUUUGGGAUACUGAUUGGGAGACCUUCACACACAGGAAUUGGACCUGUGACAGUUCCUCUUCCAGACACUGCAGCAUGUGAUGAUGUAAUGUUAAAUUACUGUGCAACCCUGUACUCUGCUCUGCACUCUUAUCCAAAAGCAGGUAAAGGCAGCAUUUCCAGCUCCAGCCAUGGGUCCGCUGCAUGAUCUGAAGCCCGGAGAGUGGGUCGUGAUCAAGGACUUCCGCAGGACCAGGUGGAACAAGCCACGGUGGUCUGGGCCAUUCUAGAUCCUUUUUCGUCACUCACUCUGUGGUAAAGGCCAGCCAGAGAGCCAUGUGGAUACACGCCAGCCACUGCAGGAGUGUGCCAGAGCCGAGCACUGAGCUGGAGAAGACAGGACUACAAUAGGAGAACUAGACCAUAAUUCUCUAUCAAGAGGCCUCUAGGAGGACCAACGCUCCCGAGCGACGAUCUGCCUAUACACACCCACACACAUGAACCAAUCUAAUGCGACUCCACAAUAGACGGUCUUAAGUGGUAUGUAGUAGCCGGAAUAGUACGACGUAAACUGUACUAUUAGGAGGACUGAACUUCAUUGGUGUGUACUAUAUAGCCACGUGACCAGGACAAAGGUUAGACGAUGUGACUUUGCUACCGCAGCUCUUACGCCCCAAAGCUCCCUGACCACAGACUACUGUUGCAGACUAGACACAAAUCAUUAGGAUGUCGACCUGCACAUCCACUCACACAUGCAAACCCAUUCCUAAUCGUGCACCCUUCUCCUGGUACAGGUGGUAUCUGUUAGUAAGCCCUGUCAGAAAUAAACUCACAAAUCACUGGGACCGUUCCCGACAACACUGGGGGUCCGGGGGUAGACCCUUAAGCUGGAAAGAUGAACCAAAGUGCGAUAUUGAAGUUUAUUGGAUGGAAGACUUAAUGAUCAAUCACACCAAUCACAUCGUUGCAGCAGAAAGAGUGCAUGACGCACACACUUUUACCCAAAUUUGUUAUUUAGCUGACCGUGGUGAAGGGACUAAGUGCCUAAGGCGACGUGAUUUCUGUAGGUCCCACAUAAGCCCACAAAGUUCUCUAGUACACUAUUGCUGCAGAUUGGACGACAAUUAGUAGUUAAAAGCCCUUAUGCCAAGAUAUUGGCCGCCUCUGUAAACCGUUCUGUAUCGCCUUUCGUUGUAAGAAUCAUUGCCAACAGUGCUACCCACACAACGUCACACGUCCUCUCGUCAUGCAGACACAUAAUGGCUAUUCUAUCAUUGAACACAUGCGGUCUGCAAUACGCAACCCUCCACAGACUAGUGAGACAGGGCUUGAUUGGCUGAACUCAGUACUCGGGGGAUGGGGCUCGUGGAUGUUAACCGUCUGUCUACCAAUAGGUGCAAUGAUUCUUCUUGUGUUGCUCAUUUUGCCUUGUAUCUCUCGUUCGGAGCAGUCUUUCACGCUCAUUGAAAUCACUAAUGACCAAACGCUGAUGUUGACAAAGACUGAUUACGAUCCAUAUGAUGAACAACAUGACUUGUAUCCUAAACCUGACUGGGAACUAGAUUCUCUCAGCGACACUGACAAUGACGACCCAUUGACAUCCAUUUCACAUCUAUUGUAAAUAUUCCUUUCACCAUGAUGAUUCUCAUUUCACUCAUAAGCUUGCUUAACGAAAGGAUACUUUAUAGCCGCAAAAACAGCCUUAGUGCCUUCAUUAUUUCAGUUUCAUGAUGAAUUCAGAUGAAUCGUGAAAGGAUUCUGAAGUUCUGAUGUAUUUACAGCAUAGUAAUUCCUCUGUUAAUUUUAGCUAUCAUAUUUUGUAACGAUAAAAUGGGGGAAUGUGAGGGAAAUUAUUCAUUUUUACUUUGUAAUAAGUUUGUUCUGGUUCUGUUUCAUUCUCAUGUGAGGAUAACGCCUAAGGAGGCCACGUGAUGUCACUAAGAUCAGUACAGAAUGUUUAUCUGCUUACAGAGACACAAACAUGUUCUUCUGUUCAAGGUUCAUCUAAACAUCUUCCAAGAUCCUAAAACAAAGCCUGUUUGAACUGCCUCAAACUGCUUCUUAUCGGUACACAGAAUGAUGUCAUGCUCUGCAUUUCAUAUAUAUAGUAGUGGUUCAGUACAAGGACUUCAGAGCGCUCUCAUUAUUCUAUCCUGCUUUAUUCCAUCCUGUAUUAACCAUCUUUCUGUAAUAAACCUUUUUACCUUCA